GCUGGGUGUGGUGGUGCACACCUGUAAUCCCAGCUACUUGGGAAGCUGAGACACAAGAAUUGCAUGAACCCAGGAGAUAUAAGUUACAGUGAGCCAAGAUUGUGCCACUGUACUCCAGCCUGGGUGACAGAGCAAGACUCUGUCUCCA
ensembl:misc_RNA Metazoa_SRP Metazoan signal recognition particle RNA